AACGCGAUGCCGAGCAGAGCCCUCCAUCCCCUGGGCGACAGCGGGUGCGAGGCGCAGUAUAGGCGCAGGCACUGCACCAGGGCGCACAGCUCGCCGCGGCGCCGGCAGCGCUCGCUCCCCUCCAGCAUCCGCAGCACGCCGUGGAACACGCCCCACGCGAGCGCGGCCGGCCACGGCCUGGGGUCAGGCCUCCACAGCCAGCCUCGAACGGGCAGCAUGCCGAGCAGCGCCGCGCUCGUGCUGAAGAGCGCCCACACCAGGACCGUCAGCGCGCGCGUCAGCGUCCGGCACGGCAUCGCGCCACUUAGGUCCAAUCCGUCCCGCGGACGAGAGGUCAGGUGUCAGCAGGCUUGGUAGCGGGCCCGGCCGCUCUCUGACCACUAGCCCGUAGACCGGGCCCCACACACACAACAGCCCCAGCCGACACUGGCGGGGCUGAAUAGCAGUGGUCAUCAAGUGAAAGCUUCCAGGCUGAGGCCCACGACGCUCCUGCCGAGGUUGACAAUGGCAGCAAUAUUCCAAUGAGUUCUCGCUCCAUCGCGGAGAGGUUCGAUCGCCCGGUCGAGGGACAGAGAAAUGUGCUGGAGAAAGGGGCUGGGGACGGGCAGUACAGUGUGUGCGCACGUGCACAAAGUUCAUUGCACGGUCCAACUAGAACACGCCCACUGUAUGCAGUUGUUGUUCGCUUUCGGACCACUGAAGCUGAUAAGAUUAUAGCUUAAUCCGCCAUAACUUUUGGCCCUUCGGUGGCGGUGUGUCCAUCAUAGGCACCCAGUAUUUUAAUUUUUUUAUUGCUUUUAUUGUCGCAUGUUUAAGGCCACACUAUGUACCCCUGCAAUUACAACGACAUAUGGCGCCCACGGCGACAACAUAAACACUCGAAACACUCGAGUGGUCCGGCAGCGUAUCUCCCACCCUUCCGCUGAUAAGCCUCGACACAAAUCAGAUGCGGACUACAAUAGGGCGUGUGCCGCGGCCACUGCUGGUCGCAUAACGAGUGUCGCAAGCAACCUGCAGGAUGGAGGCCCUGUUCCUACUGGCGCUGCUCGCAGCCGGGGCCCACGCCCUCGCCGUCACCCCGACCCCGACGCCCGAGGACCCCAACGACCCCGCCUACGAGAUGACCUUCCCCGAAGGCUUCA